GCGGAGGGAUCAUUACUGAGUUUACGCUCUACAACCCUUUGUGAACAUACCUAUAACUGUUGCUUCGGCGGGUAGGGUCUCCGCGACCCUCCCGGCCUCCCGCCUCCGGGCGGGUCGGCGCCCGCCGGAGGAUAACCAAACUCUGAUUUAACGACGUUUCUUCUGAGUGGUACAAGCAAAUAAUCAAAACUUUUAACAACGGAUCUCUUGGUUCUGGCAUCGAUGAAGAACGCAGCGAAAUGCGAUAAGUAAUGUGAAUUGCAGAAUUCAGUGAAUCAUCGAAUCUUUGAACGCACAUUGCGCCCGCCAGCAUUCUGGCGGGCAUGCCUGUUCGAGCGUCAUUUCAACCCUCAAGCUCUGCUUGGUGUUGGGGCCCUACAGCUGAUGUAGGCCCUCAAAGGUAGUGGCGGACCCUCUCGGAGCCUCCUUUGCGUAGUAACUUUACGUCUCGCACUGGGAUCCGGAGGGACUCUUGCCGUAAAACCCCCAAUUUUCCAAAGGUUGACCUCGGAUCAGGUAGGAAUACCCGCUGAACUUAAGCAUAUCAAUA
rnacentral:rRNA from 2 species